AUGUCUGUGGUCCAGAGGCAGCAGCUGGGCACCAAUGUGGAGAUGGAGAUAGCCAAAAUGUUGGAGGAGAACAACAGCAUCGUGAAGUUUGGCUACCACUUCACCAAGCAGGGACCACGCUCCAGAGCUGCUUCUGCCAUCACCAAGAACAAUGACCUGAUCCGCAGGAGGCGAGUGGAACAGGAAGUGUAGGCCUUCAUCUCACCUGUGGAAUCCUAAGUCCUACCUGUCUCAUCUCAGCGUGUGGAAGAAGUCUUGUGCCAAACUGCUGACUCCACAAGAAGGUAGAAGAGGAAUAACUGGAAUCAUUUGCUUUUUAGUCUUUUUUCAGCCUUGACUCUGUCCAGACUUUUUACUUUUUUACCAUACCGUCAUUGUGCUAACUCACCUGCCCAAAGCUGGGACCUCCCCCUCUUACCUUUGUUACACCUUUAGCAGUUACAAAAGAUGCUGACUCAGCAGUCAAUAAAUGUUUGCUAUUUCUAAAUGUUGACUAUCACCUGUAUCACAACUGUCAUUCAGUAAUGACAUGAUUAGUCAGAGGUGACUAACCCUAACCCAGAAUGGUGUGACCCAGAUGAUGUUCAACAUGCCAAAGACCAACACAUUUUGGACCUCCUAUUAUUCAUGCUGCAGGUCUUCACAAAUACUUAAUAAAAACUGUUCCAAUUCUCUGUC